CUCGUAGGCGGUUCGUCGCGUCCGGUGUGAAAGUCCAUCGCUUAACGGUGGAUCCGCGCCGGGUACGGGCGGGCUUGAGUGCGGUAGGGGAGACUGGAAUUCCCGGUAUAACGGUGGAAUGUGUAGAUAUCGGGAAGAACACCAAUGGCGAAGGCAGGUCUCUGGGCCGUUACUGACGCUGAGGAGCGAAAGCGUGGGGAGCGAACA
rnacentral:rRNA from 1 species